UAUGGCUUGGGUUUCCCACCUUUACCUCCAAACCCCUACAUGGAAAUUCCUGGCUAUAUUGUCCCUCAGGCUCAGCUGCAUCCUGCGGAUUACAGAAGACUCUUAAAUCCCCACUUCCCACCCACCAUGGCCUAUCAUGCCAGGAGAUUUCGGUAUCAACAGAACACCACUUCAAAGGAGACCACCAGCUCGGAGGUGCAGACCGAUCCAGCUGUGCUGAUGAAUGACUCGCAGCAUUCAGGAGUUAUUGGUACUUGUGUGGGAGGUGCCCAAGCUGGGAGAUCAGACUCUGUAAGGGAAGCGAGACAUGUUGGUUCCUUCUCAAACUCCAUCGUCUGCUCGCGUUCUGAGAAACAGGACGUCCCAGGGGAGGAAGCAGGCUCUCUGACAUCAAGGGUUACCAGUCCCAAGAGCUUUGUUUUCCAGAAAGAGGAGGUCAGGAUAGAAUGCAGAGACAUGCCGUCCACUCUUAAAAUUUUCAGGUCACGGGAGACAACAGCUGAAUCCUCCCCAAGCACUUCAGGGAAUCUGGUUCAGUGCGAUGUGUGGUCUGUAAGCUCCACAGAAGGUGUAAUGCCACUUUACAGCUCCACCAUUAACGAGACUAAUGUCUUACAGAAUGCAGUGCGCCCAGAGGAGCUCCAGGAGCAAUGUGUGCCUGCCUUCCCAGACGUACUACUCCUGGGAGCUUCUCCACCCAAUACUGUCGCAUCUGUCAGAGAUGAGAAGAAACCUGCUGUUCACAAGGAACACAGAACAAGACCAAACAAGAAAGGGUCAGCACCAGUUACUGAGCAGGACCCAAGAAUGGUCCAGAAUGAUAAAGGUGCACCAAGACAUCUACAUGAGGAAGAUGGCGGUGCAAAACCUGUUGAGCAUGUUCCCGCAGAUAACCCCAAGCAACAGUGUGAAGUCCUGCAUGUAGAAGAUUUGAAGAAAGCUGAGUUGUCAGGAAAGUCAGUCACAAAGCUGGACCCUCAUGUCUCACCUGAAGAGUGGCUGGCUCAGCAGGGUAAGACGCACCCUGAAAAGGCAACUGAGGAGCCCUUCAAUGAGCGAGCCCCAGAUAGUCACGUCGAGCAAAUGGAGACGGGUUCUGUGGCAAACAGCCAGGAUCACACCACAGGAAAGGAUAAAAAUGAAAAUGAGGAGGGGUGGCCUGUGGAGACUCUGCCUCCAUACGUUCCUUCCGCAAGCUGGUUAGCAGACUUUGGCAAUGUGUAUUAUUUCAGCAAAUUACCCCAGAGUGUUCAGGACCACCUGAGCAUUUUCAGUACCUCCAAAGAUGCGAUAAGGAUGGGAAAAAAGGCAAAGCUAACAUGUGAAGGCCCCUGUGACCCCAUGGAUACCUCUAUGCAAAAGAGAGUGAAAAAAAGGCACAGUCGAUUGUUGGAGGUGAAGGGAACCCCUGAAAAUGAAGGGUUUUGUAAUCACCUCAUUAACAGGAAUGCUCUUAAUCCAAAUGAUGAGGGAGCAAAAAGGUGCACCCACUGUUUGUCAAAACAGAACGCACAUGGUAGUUCUGAUUCAAAAGCUCUAUGUGGACACAAAAGGCACAAAUUAACCCAACAAACUGCUGACCUUAAACAAACCUGUGCAGCCUGUAGAUACAGCUCAACGCAGGUUAUGAAAGUGAGAGGGCCUGAAGCUGUGGGCCACUAUGCCAAUGAGGACUUGGACCAUGAAACACUGGAGGUUAAAGGCCCAUCAGAACCCCUCAAACAAAAUCAGGAGUCUAGGACGUCAAUGGCGGCAAGGAAGAGGAUUCUUUCUAAAAGAGUGUCGGAAAACAAUUCAGUUUUUCAGAGUCCAAAAGUCAAAGAAAAGAGGAAUUCUGGAAAAGAGGCCAAGCUUGCCUAUGAAUAUAGCCAUCCAGACGCCAUGAAGGAGUGUAAUGCUGAAGUUAUGGUGACGUCUACUCCAGGCAAAUGUAAAGAAAAGGCAUGGAGAGAAAGUGUAUCGACACCUGACAAGGAGGAUUGGGAAAAUUAUGGAGCCAGACCGAGAAACACGAAUAAAGAAAGGAAAACACUUCCCCAGUCACAAGAGAAAAAUGUGUCAUACAUGCCACUUGCACAGAGACACAGGAAAAAUGCGCACAGUGAAACUCUUGAAAGAGACCAGCCAAGACCGAACAGAACAAGAGGUCAGUGAUGUUUUAUUCUUCUUCAGCCAUGGUGCUGCUAGGAUCACUAGGAGUCA
ensembl:lincRNA